AAUAGAUACCCCGGUAGUCCACGCCGUAAACGAUGAGUGCUAAGUGUUAGAGGGUUUCCGCCCUUUAGUGCUGAAGUUAACGCAUUAAGCACUCCGCCUGGGGAGUACGGCCGCAAGGCUGAAACUCAAAGGAAUUGACGGGGGCCCGCACAAGCGGUGGAGCAUGUGGUUUAAUUCGAAGCAACGCGAAGAACCUUACCAGGUCUUGACAUCCUCUGACAACCCUAGAGAUAGGGCUUCUCCUUCGGGAGCAGAGUGACAGGUGGUGCAUGGUUGUCGUCAGCUCGUGUCGUGAGAUGUUGGGUUAAGUCCCGCAACGAGCGCAACCCUUGAUCUUAGUUGCCAUCAUUCAGUUGGGCACUCUAAGGUGACUGCCGGUGACAAACCGGAGGAAGGUGGGGAUGACGUCAAAUCAUCAUGCCCCUUAUGACCUGGGCUACACACGUGCUACAAUGGACGGUACAAAGAGCUGCAAGACCGCGAGGUGGAGCUAAUCUCAUAAAACCGUUCUCAGUUCGGAUUGUAGG
rnacentral:rRNA from 1 species